rnacentral:rRNA from 1 species
UUAAAUGGCCGCAGUAUUUUGACUGUGCAAAGGUAGCAUAAUCAAUAGUUUUUUAAUUAAAAACUGGAAUGAAGGGUUGAACGAAGAAAUAACUGUCUCAUAAUAAAUUUUUUAGAAUUUUAUUUUUAAGUAAAAAAGCUUAAAUAUUUUUAAAAGACGAGAAGACCCUAUAGAGUUUUAUAUUUUAAUUUAUUUAUUUUUUUAUUGUAUAUUUUUAAUUUAAUUAAUUAAAGUAUUUAAUUGGGGUGAUUGAAAAAUUUAAAAAACUUUUUUUAUAUUUAAACAUUAAUAUAUGAAUUAAUGAUCCAUUUUUUAUGAUUAUAAGAUUAAAUUACCUUAGGGAUAACAGCGUAAUUUCUUUUUAGAGUUCAAAUCGAUAAAGAAGUUUGCGACCUCGAUGUUGGAUUAAAAAAAAAUUUUGGUGUAGAAGCUAAAAUAUUUAGGUCUGUUCGACCUUUGAAAUUUUACAUGAUCUGAGUUUAAACCGGUGUGAGCCAGGUUGGUUUCUAUCUUUAAAUUAUUUAAUAUUUUAGUACGAAAGGACCAGAUAUUAAUAAUAAUUAUUUUUAUUUGAAUAAUAUU